rnacentral:rRNA from 1 species
CCUACGGGUGGCAGCAGUAGGGAAUUUUGCGCAAUGGGCGAAAGUCUGACGCAGCAACACCGCGUGAAUGUUAAGCCCUUCGGGGUGUAAAGUUCUGUCAAUAGGGACGAAUUUUGACUGUACCUAUAAAGGAUGCACUGGCUAACUCCGUGCCAGCAGCCGCGGUAAUACGGUGGUUGCAAGCGUUGUACGGAAUCAUUGGGCGUAAAGCGGUCGUAGGCGGCUAGGUAAGUCUGAUGUUAAAGGCCGGGGCUUAACUCCGGUUCUGCAUUGGAUACUAUCUAGCUAGAAUGUGGUAGAGGUAAAGGGAAUUCCUGGUGUAGCGGUGAAAUGCGUAGAUAUCAUGAGGAACAUCGGUGGCGAAAGCGCUUUACUGGACCAUUAUUGACGCUGAGGAACGAAAGCCAGGGGAGCAAAUGGGAUUAGAUACCCUUGUAGUC